rnacentral:lncRNA from 1 species
UAAGCUUCACCUCUGCCAAGUGUAAAAUGAUCAUUUAGAUCUACACUAAUUCCUAAAGUGUUGUGAUACUUGUUACGUAACCCACGAAAUUGGUUACAUAAAGAGCAAGGAGUUCUCUUGGACCUUUUUGCUUACGGAAUUCCAUACAACCGCGUACUUACGAAAGAUUAGCGAAUUUCAUGAUCCAAAAAUCUUUAGUAUGUUGUGAUGCAGGCCACACAGGUCAAAGGAUUGAAGAAAGCCAAGGUUAACAGCCAAGUGGUCACGCGGACUCGUGUGCUUCUGUAAGUAAGAAGUCC